UAUUGCAAAAAAGAGAAAGAUCGAUCUCCAUCGGACUUUAAAAUACCACCUCCUGGAUUGCGUUCAAUAUCGUAGCGGCUACAUAGGGCUACGUAGAUUUAUGACUAUUGAACGAGUAUCUAGUCUAGCUUCUAUCAAUAUAUAUGUAGUAGCUAGGCUAGCUACACGUUCAAUAGUCAAAAAUCUAAGUAGCCCAAUGUAGCCGCUACGAUAUAAAACGCAACCCUGAUAUUUGUUUAAGUGUAAACGCUUCGAUACAUCGCGAUAGAUCGAUCUAGAAUUCAAAGUGUUUUAUGUAGAUAUGAAAAUAAAUCUGCGCAUUGUCAGUUUAAUAUUCUUAUAAGUAACUGAUUUCAGUGUUUCAUCCAUAUUCUCAAAUGAUUUGGCAGAACAUGGCGAUAAAAAUAAAAUCAAAUGUAUACGACGUUUUGGCGUCAUUUUUCUGAAAGAUAAAUAGAAAAAAUGAGAUGUGGUAUGAUUGCAAAUAA
rnacentral:lncRNA from 1 species